UCCGGUUUGUCACCGGCAGUCACCUUAGAGUGCCCAACUGAAUGCUGGCAACUAAGAUCAAGGGUUGCGCUCGUUGCGGGACUUAACCCAACAUCUCACAACACGAGCUGACGACAACCAUGCACCACCUGUCAUCCUGCCCCCCGAAGGGGAACGCCCUAUCUCUAGGGUUGUCAGGAGAUGUCAAGACCUGGUAAGGUUCUUCGCGUUGCUUCGAAUUAAACCACAUGCUCCGCUGCUUGUGCGGGCCCCCGUCAAUUCCUUUGAGUUUUAGCCUUGCGGCCGUACUCCCCAGGCGGGGCACUUAAUGCGUUAGCGCCGGCGCGGAAGGAGUCGACACCUCCCACACCUAGUGCCCAUCGUUUACGGCGUGGACUAC
rnacentral:misc_RNA from 1 species